rnacentral:rRNA from 1 species
ACGUGGGUAACCUACCUAUAAGACUGGAAUAACUUCGGGAAACCGGAGCUAAUGCCGGAUAACAUUUGGAACCGCAUGGUUCUAAAGUAAAAGAUGGUUUUGCUAUCACUUAUAGAUGGACCCGCGCCGUAUUAGCUAGUUGGUAAGGUAACGGCUUACCAAGGCAACGAUACGUAGCCGACCUGAGAGGGUGAUCGGCCACACUGGAACUGAGACACGGUCCAGACUCCUACGGGAGGCAGCAGUAGGGAAUCUUCCGCAAUGGACGAAAGUCUGACGGAGCAACGCCGCGUGAGUGAUGAAGGUUUUCGGAUCGUAAAACUCUGUUAUUAGGGAAGAACAAAUGUGUAAGUAACUGUGCACAUC